rnacentral:rRNA from 1 species
AGAGUUGAUCCUGGCUCAGGACGAACGCUGGCGGCGUGCUUAACACAUGCAAGUCGAACGGAAAGGCCCCUUCGGGGGUACUCGAGUGGCGAACGGGUGAGUAACACGUGAGUAACCUGCCCUUGACUUCGGGAUAACUUCAGGAAACUGGGGCUAAUACCGGAUAGGAAUCCUUGCUGCAUGGUGGGGGUUGGAAAGCUUCGGCGGUUUUGGAUGGACUCGCGGCUUAUCAGCUUGUUGGUGGGGUAGUGGCUUACCAAGGCUUUGACGGGUAGCCGGCCUGAGAGGGCGACCGGCCACAUUGGGACUGAGAUACGGCCCAGACUCCUACGGGAGGCAGCAGUGGGGAAUAUUGCACAAUGGGCGGAAGCCUGAUGCAGCAACGCCGCGUGCGGGAUGACGGCCUUCGGGUUGUAAACCGCUUUCAGCAGGGGCGAAGCUUGUGGUGACGGUACCUGCAGAAGAAGCACCGGCUAACUACGUGCCAGCAGCCGCGGUGAUACGUAGGGUGCGAGCGUUGUCCGGAUUUAUUGGGCGUAAAGAGCUCGUAGGUGGUUGAUUGCGUCGGAAGUGAAAACUUGGGGCUUAACCCUGAGCGUGCUUUCGAUACGGGUUGACUUGAGGAAGGUAGGGGAGAAUGGAAUUCCUGGUGGAGCGGUGGAAUGCGCAGAUAUCAGGAGGAACACCAGUGGCGAAGGCGGUUCUCUGGACCUUUCCUGACGCUGAGGAGCGAAAGCGUGGGGAGCGAACAGGCUUAGAUACCCUGGCAGUCCACGCUGUAAACGGUGGGUACUAGGUGUGGGGUCCAUUCCACGGAUUCCGUGCCGUAGCUAACGCAUUAAGUACCCCGCCUGGGGAGUACGGCCGCAAGGCUAAAACUCAAAGGAAUUGACGG